UCUCUUUAGCACACGUCUUGAUAACUCAAGAAAUAAAAUGCGCACCUGCCCGAUAACACACGCUAAAGAGACGUGGGUUAUUAAGGAUUAUUUUAAGUUUGACGUGUGCUAUCGGGACGUGCGUUAUCGAACACGUGCGCAUUUUACUUCGUGCAUUAUCGGAACGUAUGCUAAAGAGACAUGGGUUAUCAGAAAUUAUUUUAAAUUUGACGUGUGCUAUCGGGACGUGCGUUAUCGAGCACGUUCGCACUUUACUAUGUGCGUUAAUGGGCAGGUGUGCAUUUUACUUCGUGCUUUAUCGGGCAGCUGCGCAUUUUACUUCGUGCGCUGUCGGACGUGUGCUAAAGAGACGUGGGUUAUCGGGAAUUAUUUUAAAUUUGAGGUGUGUUAUCAGAACGUGGGCUAUCGCACCGUGCGUUAUUGGAUUUUGUUCUUUAUGUACGACUUGUUGAAAUAGUGGCAUGUUGAGUACCUGUGCGGUGAGCAGUUUUGUCAAAUUAGGCUUUAAGGGAUUACACCACAGUAGAAAUUUCAAAAAAUCAAUUUUUUUUAUUGGCUUAAAAAAUUCUUUGAACCCUCUAGAAUAAGAGACAAACGGUUUUAUAUCUGCCAGAAAUCGUUUUCAUUAAAAUUUCGAGCUCUUUCUCGACCCCUCCCGACUGCAACGAAACGACUACCUGCGGUAAAUACGACACUUGUCGGGUACAGUAUUAUGUCUUACCAUUCGAUUUUUAACUUCUCUAAUACACUAAUAGAUGUUGUUAGAAACAUUUUCAAGCAUUUUAAACACAAAGUACAUUAGUACAGCGUCCUUUGAUGUUGAGAGAAGACGUAAAUUUUGCGUGGAAUUAUUAUUCGAAUUAUUCGAAAUUACGAUUUUCUUUUGCAGUGCUAAUUUUUCACACGUUAUUUGUAGCCUUGACAUUUAUGUGAGCUACAAUGAGUGAAAAGAAAGUGUAUGCAAGCCAUAUCCACAGCACGAAAAAUGCUCAGAGUCUUGGUGCGAAUGGAAGAAGACGCAAGCAACGGGUUCCUUAGAUCCCUUUCAUCAUAAGCCGGCACUAGCGAACAAAGUUUUUGAAGCCAUUAGACCAAUCUACAAGGAUUUGAGCCGUGACGAGUUGCUGACGUUGCUUGGGAGGCUAUACGCAGAACAACAACAAAAGUUUUAAUUCUACAGUCUGCACUUGGCUCCUAAAAUUUAUUCAAACAGAAAGAAAAUAUUACAAAUAGCAAGUGAAAUUGCUGUUUGUAAUUUUAAUGAUGAACUGAUAAACGUUUUAAGAAUAAUGAAAGUGAUGGACAUGAACCACAAUUCAACAACUUUUGCUUAGAGGCGGACGCUGCUCGAAUACAACACGCGGUGCGCAACUCUUUGAUGGACGCAGCGAGAAAGGCUCGCUCCAGCAUAAAAGUGUCCAGAAAAGAAAACGAGGAAAAGUUUAGCAACCUGGAAGGUCAGCUUUACAGUGCUGGAAUAGCAGAUUAAAGAUUAAUUUUUGCUGCACUUCUACUGCGUGCCGCGGAGUCCCUCCAAAAAAAACCGUUUUGCAGAAACGGCUGUUGGGCAGCCAUUUUGUAAUAUUUUUUAAUAAAUAAAAUUUUUUUUAAAACUUCCAAA